CCAAUAGCGUAUAUUAAAGUUGUUGCAGUUAAAAAGCUCGUAGUUGAAUUUCCGGCCUGGCUGGACGGUCCGCCCUUCGGGUGAGUACUGUCUGUGGUCGGGUCCUACCUUCUGGCGAAGCGUCAUGGCCUUAACCGGCCGUGGCGGGGAACCAGGACUUUUACUGUGAAAAAAUUAGAGUGUUCAAAGCAGGCAAAUCGCUUGGAUACAUUAGCAUGGAAUAAUGGAAUAAGACAAUGGUUCUAUUUGUUGGUUUCUAGGACCGUUGUAAUGAUUAAUAGGGAUAGUUGGGGGCAUUAGUAUUCAAUUGUCAGAGGUGAAAUUCUUGGAUUUAUUGAAGACUAACUACUGCGAAAGCAUUUGCCAAGGAUGUUUUCAUUAAUCAAGAACGAAAGUUAGGGGAUCGAAGACGAUCAGAUACCGUCGUAGUCUUAACCAUAAACUAUGCCGACUAGGAAUCGGGCGACGUUAUUUUCAUGACUCGCUCGGCGCCUUAUG
rnacentral:rRNA from 1 species